UAGAGUAGAAUUCACGCGUUUGAGUGUCUAAAGAUGGGACGUUGCUUUAGAACGAAAGAAUGGAUCUGCGGUGUGAAUUUCGCGUCCGCUGU
rnacentral:ncRNA from 1 species